CUAUGUUGUCAUUAUCAUGUGACCUACGAUGUUAAAACAAGCACAACAACUUAAAAGAUAUGAGUGACAGGUUUAAUUAAUCUAACUGUAAUCUUAUGUAACCGGGUGGUAUUAGCGUGUGGGAUACGCAAGGAGUGCACUUCCCCUUUAAGAGAGCGGCUGCAAAUGAUGACGCACUAAGAGUGCGAUAUAGAGACAGACCGUUUAAGCAGUGCAGGAGAGAAGGCAAUAGUGUAUCAUCCUAGGGGAUUUGGAUGAACGGAGAUUGUGUGAUAUUGCACGUGACAAGUGUUCCGGAUUCUCAGAAUUCGAUGGUGAACCCACAUCCUACUGCCAUCUCAACACAGCUGUGCCAAUUCUGCAGCUGCGCUGUGCUUCACAAUCUCACUAUUCUCAAUGGGGACAUUGUUGAGCAAGAGGAUGAGGAAGACCAUGACGACCCCUCUCUGAACCACACAACCUUGAAGCAAGUGCAGGGAACACGUGCGGGACAAUCUGGCUGCUGCUGUGUCUGCUCCAAACAUUUGUGUGCCUGCUCUCCAUGAGCAUGACUACACUCUAAAAAAUGCUGGGUUAAAUAUAACCCAACGCUGGGUUAAAAAGGGACCAACCCAACAGUUGGGUUUUUUUGACCCAGCAGUUGGCAGAGGUAUAAAGUCCAGGGGUCAGAAAGUAAAAGUCCUGCCAUAUGUUUAUUCCACCCAUGAACUCAGCAAGCUGUUUUAACCAGAGGAGAACCAAGUCAUUCCUUUCACAUC
ensembl:lncRNA